CUGUAGCAAGUCAAUUAGGAAACUUAUAAGCAAAUAGGUAAGUUUGUAAAAGAACCAACAAAAUGUAUUCAAUGAAAGAACAAUUGAAGUUAUUGAUCCUCAAUAAAAACAACAGUGUAUAAAGGUUGGUUGCACCUGAUGCAAGAAGAAACUCAAUGAACUACUGGUACUUAUCUUCUCAAGCUUUGGAUUAGGCUUCAGUUGGACCAAUUAAGUUCCAUAACUUUAUACUCAACAUGUUAAGGGAUGCACAAGCCAUCUCUCCUAUGUAUAUCUUUUUGUCAAAUAGAUCAUGGGAAUUCCAAAACAUUGCAUUUAUUAUAAGGAUAAUAGUGAAAGUUCUGAUUAUCUUAAUCCAGGAUCAUACUGCAAAGACUUUACACCACGUAGAAUUAAGGCUGCAAAAACUCUCAACCCCUGACCAAACUUGGAAAAUCCCAAUCCUAAUCAAAUUAUCCUUCUUGAUUGUAUAGACGUCGAGAAGUAAAAAAUAAGACCUUCAUAUGAAUGAACAAAGAAAAGUUGAAUUCAUGUCUUGACCAAAGAGAUUAGAACAGAAGUAACCGCUACAAAUUGAACUAGCUGCUAGCAAGUGUUAGCACCAAAUGCCCCAAUUCCGUUCUUUAAAAAAGAGGAAACAACUACAGAUGAUUCUUCCACUGACCUUGAGCAUGAAGAACCACGAAAAUGCUUGACCGGCAAAUAAGGAUUGUGAAGGUAAUAUGGAAUCAAGAGAUGGAAGCAAUGAGAUU
rnacentral:lncRNA from 1 species